UACGGGGGGGGCAAGCGUUGUUCGGAAUUACUGGGCGUAAAGGGCUCGUAGGCGGCCAACUAAGUCAGACGUGAAAUCCCUCGGCUUAACCGGGGAACUGCGUCUGAUACUGGAUGGCUUGAGUUCGGGAGAGGGAUGCGGAAUUCCAGGUGUAGCGGUGAAAUGCGUAGAUAUCUGGAGGAACACCGGUGGCGAAGGCGGCAUCCUGGACCGAUACUGACGCUGAAGGAGCGAAAGCCAGGGGAGCAAACGGG
rnacentral:rRNA from 1 species